rnacentral:rRNA from 1 species
GACGAACGCUGGCGGCGUGCUUAACACAUGCAAGUCGAACGGUGAAGCCCUUCGGGGUGGAUCAGUGGCGAACGGGUGAGUAACACGUGAGCAACCUGCCCUUGACUCUGGGAUAACUACCGGAAACGGUGGCUAAUACCGGAUAUGACGCACCUGGGCAUCUGGGUGUGUGGAAAGUUUUUCGGUCAAGGAUGGGCUCGCGGCCUAUCAGCUUGUUGGUGGGGUGAUGGCCUACCAAGGCGACGACGGGUAGCCGGCCUGAGAGGGCGACCGGCCACACUGGGACUGAGACACGGCCCAGACUCCUACGGGAGGCAGCAGUGGGGAAUAUUGCGCAAUGGGCGAAAGCCUGACGCAGCGACGCCGCGUGGGGGAUGAAGGCCUUCGGGUUGUAAACCUCUUUCAGCAGGGAAGAAGCGGAAGUGACGGUACCUGCAGAAGAAGCACCGGCUAACUACGUG